rnacentral:rRNA from 1 species
GUAACGCGUGGGUAACCUGCCUCAUACAGGGGGAUAACAGUUAGAAAUGGCUGCUAAUACCGCAUAAGCGCACAGUGCUGCAUGGCACAGUGUGAAAAACUCCGGUGGUAUGAGAUGGACCCGCGUCUGAUUAGCUAGUUGGUGGGGUAACGGCCUACCAAGGCGACGAUCAGUAGCCGGCCUGAGAGGGUGAACGGCCACAUUGGGACUGAGACACGGCCCAAACUCCUACGGGAGGCAGCAUG